rnacentral:rRNA from 1 species
GCUUGUCUCAAAGAUUAAGCCAUGCAUGUCUAAGUAUAAACGAAUUUAUACUGUGAAACUGCGAAUGGCUCAUUAUAUCAGUUAUAGUUUAUUUGGUAUUCGAAUUUACAUGGAUAACCGUGGUAAUUCUAGAGCUAAUACAUGCAUUACGCCUGACUUUUCGGAAGGGCAGUAUUUAUUAGAUAACAGACCAGCAGCUUCGGCUAUUGUGGUGAAUCAUAGUAACUAAUCGGAUCGCAUGGGCUAGUCCCGCGACAAACCAUUCAAGUUUCUGCCCCAUCAGCUUUCGACGGUAGUGUAUUGGACUACCGUGGCUUUUACGGGUAACGGAGGAUUAGGGUUCGAUUCCGGAGAGGGAGCCUGAGAAACGGCUACCACAUCUAAGGAAGGCAGCAGG